rnacentral:snoRNA from 1 species
GCUGUGACUCAGUCAAGAAACUGGCUGCUGUGUCACGUGUGCGUCAGUAGGUGGCAGAGAGGAGAGAGGCUAUAUCUACGCUCAGUGUUCUGGCCUAUGGACAUCUGAAUGAUUAGUAGCCUACCAUU